rnacentral:rRNA from 1 species
GAGUUUGAUCUUGGCUCAGGAUGAACGUUAGCGGCGUGCCUAACACAUGCAAGUCGAACGAACAGCCAGAAUCUUAGGAAUCUGGCGGGUUAGUGGCGCACGGGUGAGUAACACGUAGGUGACCUGCCCCGAAGUGGGGGGACAACCACUGGAAACAGUGGCUAAUACCGCAUGUGCUUAGCCAUUCGGUUGGUUAAGUAAAGCUGAGGCGCUUCGGGAGGGGCCUGCGGUCGAUUAGCUAGUUGGUGAGCUAAUGGCUCACCAAGGCGAUGAUCGAUAGGGGGCGUGAGAGCGUGACCCCCACACUGGACGUGAGACACGGCCCACGACUCCUACGGGAGGGCAGCAGUGAGGAAUAUUGCACAAUGGGCGGCAAGCCUGAUGCAGCAACGCCGCGUGGGGA